CCAAGGCUCCCAGAGUGACGGAGGGCUUCCAAGUGCCUCUGCUAUACGGAGGCUGUUCUUAUGUCUAAACUUCUUGGAGAGUAAGAGCUGGGUAAGACGGGUGCCAGCCGCCGCGGUAAUACCUGCAGCUCGAGUGGUAACCGCUAUUAUUGGGCCUAAAGCGUCCGUAGCCGGUUUGGUAAAUAUCUGGGUAAAUCGUGUAGCUUAACUAUACGAAUUCCGGGUAGACUGCCAAACUUGAGACCGGGAGAAGCUAGAGGUACUCCUGGGGUAGAGGUGAAAUUCUGUAAUCCUGGGGGGACCACCAGUGGCGAAGGCGUCUAGCUAGAACGGGUUUGACGGUGAGGAACAAAGCCCUGGGGCGCAAACCGGAUUAAAUACCCGGGUAGUCCAGGGUGUAAACACUGCUUGCUUGAUGUUAGUUGGGCUCCGAGCCCAAUUAGUGUCGGAGAGAAGUUGUUAAGCAAGCUGCCUGGGAAGUACGAUCGCAAGAUUGAAACUUAAAGGAAUUGGCGGGGGA
rnacentral:rRNA from 1 species